CUUGCUUCUUCCAGGAGAGAGGGGGUUGAAAGAGCCAACAGGAACUGAGAAGAUGCGGGCUAAUGGUUUGAAGAUAUUGGCCUAGCAAGAUGGCCACAAGCUUAAAAAACAGGAUUCCUAAGAAGUUACUUUUCUCAGACAUCUCAAACCCCCAAACGAGAGAAGAUGCUGAGGCCUGUUGCCACAAACCCGUAGAUCCGAACUUGUGAUGAUAGUCCACACAAGCUUGUGUCUAUAGGUAUGUGUCUGUUAGGCAA
rnacentral:lncRNA from 1 species